rnacentral:tRNA from 1 species
GCAGUGUAGUUCAGUUGGUUAGAGCAGGAUCUUCAUACGGUCAAGAUCGUGGGUUCGAAAGUCUCCGCUUCGCUCCG